UGAGAAGCAGUGCUUACCUUCAAAAGAAAUCAUUUCAGUCUGUCUAUAAAAGUGCUGCUCUAGGAUUUGAAGGUAGCUCUGAGAGAUGAAGAUUAAGCCUUGUUUUCUGUAGGCCUCUGGGGUUUGGUCUUUUGAGCUGUUGAUGUACUUACUGCACCAGCAGUCAGUACUGCACCUCUCUGUGGAUGUGUCCUUACACCAAGAUGAUGAUUACACUGUAUUAAAUGUAACAUUUACGUUAGUACUGCUGAGCUGGUGUAAUGCAAGGAAGGACACAUCAUGAAAUGGAAACAUUAUCCUUUUUUGGUCAUAGUAGCUGCAUGCAGCCUUUCCAGAUGUCAUCACUUACUGGGUCAGCUUAUUCCAGUUUUCUUUUGUAAAGGUGGGAACAAGCUUUCAGAUUCGUGGUCUGAUAACAAAAACAGUAGGAACAUUCCUCAUGGACCUGGCUGGGCUUGGGAUCCUUACUUCAAGCAGGGAGUACUGUGGAAGUGCCAUCCAUCUGAACUGGAACAGAGGCUAGAUAUGUGGUAUCGAGUUAGUCCUUGAGCUUUACAGAGAUGCCUGGACAACAAAAGACUUGUAAAACCACGUAAUGACAAAUUUUGAAUGCUCUUGGUAGAUUUAAUGGUAGAUUUUUAUAACAGAAUUCUUGUAGAUCUUAGAGAGAGGAGGAUGAGGAGAGAACUUCUUUUGAACCCAGGUUUUUGAGAUUUUGGUAGAAGCUUGUGUACCUCCAUGGUCUACACAUACUGUCUCCCAGUACUUGAGCAAUACUAAUGUACUAGAAAUCUGGCAUUUUCAUCAUUUUCAAGUAAAAGAAGUGUGUUUUUUUUUAUUAUUUUUUUCGGACACCUGUUUUGAUUUUUAAAUGUGAAGUGUAUUUCUUUUCUUCAGGAAAUAGUUCUCCUUUAGGAGAUACAUAUAAGCAACAAAGUGUAAUAUAUAUAAAAUAUACACAACAGAAUGUAAAUUUGAGAAAUGUUUCACUAGUGAAACUUUGAAACAAAUGAAAAAAAACAAAAAACAUUCUCUGAUAAUCAUAGAAGCCUACCAAAGUCCUGAAGAGAACCAACUCAGGAUUUGACCUCUCCUGAAGUAAACAAGAAUAUUUUAAAUUUUCUAUUCCUGAGCAUUUCUUGGCUUGCUAAUGCAACAUUGGAGAAAAUAUGUUCACUAUCCUAGCUUGUUUACCUCUUUCAACAGGAGACAGUUAUUAAACAUAAUGAAACUUUCAGAAAUGCAAAUGUUCUUUUUUCAUUACCUCUAAAUUUUAACCAGAGUAGGCACUUUUUGCCUACCUUUAAAGCCAUGCUGAGGUGUAAGCUGUCAUUUUUGGAAUCUAAAGCUUUUAUCUAAGAGCUUUCAUCAAGUUAAUCAUAACCCAGUAAUGUAAGUCACUCUUCAGGUCUGCCUUUUCUACGAAGUUAUUUGGUGUGUUUUUUUUUUUUUUUUUUUCAAAAUCACUUAACUUUUCAAUCCUCAAGAAUCUGUGAUCUGGCUAGUGAAAACAGCUUACAGAUUUGCAGGUUCCCUUUGUUACCUGCUUGUCAAACUACUAAAUUUUAUCUGAAUAUGGUACUCCAGGUUUCUAAGUGUUUUAUACAUUCUGACAAGAAAUUCGAUUUUCUUGUGUCCCUUCAACCUCUGAAGUUGCCCUGAAAAAAAUGGUUCCUAGCACUGAAAGAUCUUCAUUUGUUGCUUAAUAAAGAUCAUGACCAUCUUUUAUAAUGUAGUGUA
ensembl:lncRNA